GAUGAACGCUGGCGGCGUGCCUAAUACAUGCAAGUAGAACGCUGAAGGAGGAGCUUGCUCUUCUGGAUGAGUUGCGAACGGGUGAGUAACGCGUAGGUAACCUGCCUGGUAGCGGGGGAUAACUAUUGGAAACGAUAGCUAAUACCGCAUGACAACAGUUAUUGCAUGAUAACUGUUUAAAAGGUGCAACUGCUCCACUACCAGAUGGACCUUCGUUGUAUUAGCUAGUUGGUGAGGUAACGGCUCAACAAGGCGACGAUACCUAGCCGACCUGGGAGGGUGAACGGCCAAAAUGGGAAUGAGACACGGCCCAGACUCCUACGGGAGGCAGCAGUAGGGAAUCUUCGGCAAUGGACGGAAGUCUGACCGAGCAAAGCCGGGGGAGUGAAGAAGGGUUUCGGAUCGGAAAGCUCUGUUGUAAGAGAAGAAAGAGAGUGAGAGUGGAAAGUUCACAAUGUGACGGUAUCUUAACAGAAAGGGACGGCUAACUACGUG
rnacentral:rRNA from 1 species